GACGAACGCUGGCGGCGUGCCUAAUACAUGCAAGUUGAGCGCUGAAGGUUGGUACUUGUACCAACUGGAUGAGCAGCGAACGGGUGAGUAACGCGUGGGGAAUCUGCCUUUGAGCGGGGGACAACAUUUGGAAACGAAUGCUAAUACCGCAUAAAAACUUUAAACACAAUUUUAAGUUUGAAAGAUGCAAUUGCAUCACUCAAAGAUGAUCCCGCGUUGUAUUAGCUAGUUGGUGAGGUAAAGGCUCACCAAGGCGAUGAUACAUAGCCGACCUGAGAGGGUGAUCGGCCACAUUGGGACUGAGACACGGCCCAAACUCCUACGGGAGGCAGCAGUAGGGAAUCUUCGGCAAUGGACGAAAGUCUGACCGAGCAACGCCGCGUGAGUGAAGAAGGUUUUCGGAUCGUAAAACUCUGUUGGUAGAGAAGAACGUUGGUGAGAGUGGAAAGCUCAUCAAGUGACGGUAACUACCCAGAAAGGGACGGCUAACUACGU
rnacentral:rRNA from 1 species